rnacentral:rRNA from 1 species
UACGUAGGGUGCGAGCGUUGUCCGGAAUUAUUGGGCGUAAAGGGCUCGUAGGCGGUUUGUCGCGUCGGGAGUGAAAUCCACUGGCUUAACUGGUGGCUUGCUUUCGAUACGGGCAGACUGGAGGUAUGCAGGGGAGAACGGAAUUCCUGGUGUAGCGGUGGAAUGCGCAGAUAUCAGGAAGAACACCAACGGCGAAGGCAGCUCGCUGGGACGGAACUGACGCUAAGGCGCGAAAGCGUGGGGAGCGAACAGG